rnacentral:lncRNA from 1 species
UUAACCCAGAGGCACUUUACCACUGAGCUACAUCCCAGCCCCUACUCUCCAGCCCCUUUAAAUUUUAUAAUCGAGACAGGGUCUCAGUAAGUUGCUAAAACCCCCCUCAAACUUGUGAUUCUCCUGCCUCAGUCUCCUAAAUUGCUGGGAUUAUAGGUGUGCAUCACUAUGCCUGGCAAUCACCUUAGGUAUUAAAUAUAUAUAAACUUUUCCUUGUUUACACUUUUCUCCUUAAUUCUCACUAAUUUCACUUUGUUUGCACUGAACAUAAACCCUGAAGUCCCUGAUUUACUCAUUUCAGAGUUAUAAAAUAAGCUAAUAAAAAUUUCAUCUAUAUGAAUUCCUUUUACACAUUUACAAACAUAAUUGUUGCUUGACUUGAUUAAGAGAACAGUGAGCUAGACAUGAGGAAUGCAAAAAAGAGUAUUUUCCAUGGGACUUACACAUUAAAAAACAGUUAUAUUUAAAAUAACAUCACAAAUAAUUUCUACAUCAGAAUUUUUUUCUUACAUUUUCAACAAUGAAGUUUCCUUGCUGUGUUGGAAUGUAUUAAAAUAGUUUUAUAAUUUUUUUGUACUAAGAAUUGAACCCAGGGGCACUUAAACAUUGAGUCCUUUUUAUUUUUUAUUUUGAGAUAGUCUUGCUAAGUUGCUUAGGGCCUCACCUAGUUGCUGAGCCUGGCUUUGAACUUAUGAUCCUUCUGCCUCAGCUUCCAGAGCCACUGGGAUUACAGGCACGAGCCACAUACCCAGCCUAGUUUUAUGAUUAAAAACAGUUUAUGUUGUUUUACUAGCAUGUGGCUAUCUCAGUUGUUUUGGGGAAAUAUCCUUAAUUAAUAUGAAUCAUUCUUAAUUAAAACAAAUAAUUUUCCAGUAAUGUAUACAUCAUAAAUAUGAGAUGUUUUUCCUUCCAAAUUAAUCUUUACAAAUAUACAUUUCAAAUCCACAUACACCAACUGGAAGAAGCAAGAAAAUUCAGACUGUGCUUCUAGUUUAUGCGUUUUUCUUUCUACAUUCUGCUUAAGUCUUGCUUUAUUAUCCAAAUUCUGAAAAUGAAGCCUUAUGAGCCUGUAGCCAGAACUAUGAGCCUUUUUUGUGUGUGCAUUCUAAAAUAAUUGUCAUUUUCAUCUGCUAAUAAGAGAUAGUGCCUACAGUGUAUGUACACCUUCCCACAUGUGUCGCCAGUUAGGGGUACUGACCUCCUGGGCCUUGGAUGAACACUGUGACCUCAGUCAACCUCCCUUGAGCUAUUUCCUUAACUGUGAAUUGAUAGGAUUAGAUUAAUACAUCUCCAUAGCCCCUUAAACUCCAAAUACUCCCAGGGAUCUUUGAAAAAUCCUAGGGAAAAAACUGGAGCAAGACCUGAGUUAUUAAAUACCAUCUCAUCUGCUGUGCACUUACAAACGCUGUUCUUUAUAGCAGUGAAGGUCAGAGUAUCUUAAAUCAAUAUUUAAUGAGAUGGC